AGUGAACGCUGGCGGUAUGCCUAACACAUGCAAGUCGAACGGCAGCACAGUAAGAGCUUGCUCUUACGGGUGGCGAGUGGCGGACGGUUAGGAAUACAUCGGAAUCUCCUUUUUCGUGGGGUAUAACGUAGGGAAACUUACGCUAAUACCGCAUUCGACCUACGGGCGAAAGCCAGGGGUCUUCGGACCUUUCGCGGUUGCAUGUGCCUAUGUCGGAUUAGCUAGUUGGCGGGGUAAAGGUCCACCAAGGCGACGAUCCGUAGCCGGUCUGAGAGGAUGAUCAGCCACACUGGAACUGAGACACGGUCCAGACUCCUACGGGAGGCAGCAGUGGGGAAUAUUGGACAAUGGGCGCAAGCCUGACCCAGCCAUGCCGCGUGAGUGAAGAAGGCCUUCGGGUUGUAAAGCCCUUUUGUUGGGAAAGAAAAGAAGCAGGUUAAUACCCCGCUGUUCUGACGGUACCCAAAGAAUAAGCACCGGCUAACUUCGUG
rnacentral:rRNA from 1 species